rnacentral:rRNA from 1 species
CCUACGGGAGGCAGCAGUGAGGAAUAUUGGUCAAUGGCCGGAAGGCUGAACCAGCCAUGCCGCGUGAAGGUCAGUGCCCUAUGGGCGUUAAACUUCUUUUGUGCGGGAGCAAUAAUGGUCACGUGUGGCCAGACGAGAGUACCGUACGCAUAAGCAUCGGCUAACUCCGUGCCAGCAGACGCGGUAAUACGGGGGAUGCAAGCGUUAACCGGAUUAACUGGGUGUAAGGGGUGCGUAGACUGUGAGGUAAGUCGGCGGUGAAAUGCCCCCGCUCAACGGGGUGAAGUGCCAUUGCUACUGCCUUGCUGGAAUGCGGAUGCCGUGGGAGGAAUGUGUGGUGUAGCGGUGAAAUGCAUAGAUAUCACACAGAACACCGAUUGCGAAGGCAUCUCACGAAUCCGCGAUUGACGCUGAUGCACGAAAGCGUGGGUAUCAAACAGGAUUAGAUACCCGAGUAGUC